rfam:Homo sapiens chromosome 12, GRCh38 reference primary assembly.
GCUGGGCGUGGUGGCGCACGCCUGUAGUCCCAGCUACUUGGGAGGCUGAGGCAGAAGAAUUGCUUGAACCCAGGAGGCGGAGGUUGCAGUGAGCAGAGAUAGGGCCAAUGCACUCCAGCCUGGGUGACAAAGCGAGACUCUGUCUCAA